UGGGGAAUUUUGACAAUGGGCGAAAGCCUGAUCCAGCAAUGCCGCGUGUGUGAAGAAGGCCUUCGGGUUGUAAAGCACUUUUGUCCGGAAAGAAAUCCUUGGCUCUAAUACAGUCGGGGGAUACGGUACCGGAAGAAUAAGCACCGGCUAACUACGUGCCAGCAGCCGCGGUAAUACGUAGGGUGCAAGCGUUAAUCGGAAUUACUGGGCGUAAAGCGUGCGCAGGCGGUUUGCUAAGACCGAUGUGAAAUCCCCGGGCUAACCUGGGAACUCAUUGGUGACUGGCAGGCUAGAGUAUGGCAGAGGGGGGUAGAAUUCCACGUAGUAGCAGUGAAAUGCGUAGAGAUGUGGAGGAAUA
rnacentral:rRNA from 1 species